rnacentral:rRNA from 1 species
UGGGGAAUAUUGCACAAUGGGCGCAAGCCUGAUGCAGCCAUGCCGCGUGUGUGAAGAAGGCCUUCGGGUUGUAAAGCACUUUCAGCGGGGAGGAAGGCGAUAAGGUUAAUAACCUCAUCGAUUGACGUUACCCGCAGAAGAAGCACCGGCUAACUCCGUGCCAGCAGCCGCGGUAAUACGGAGGGUGCAAGCGUUAAUCGGAAUUACUGGGCGUAAAGCGCACGCAGGCGGUCUGUCAAGUCGGAUGUGAAAUCCCCGGGCUCAACCUGGGAACUGCAUUCGAAACUGGCAGGCUAGAGUCUUGUAGAGGGGGGUAGAAUUCAAGGUGUAGCGGUGAAAUGCGUAGAGAUCUGGAGGAAUACCGGUGGCGAAGGCGGCCCCCUGGACAAAGACUGACGCUCAGGUGCGAAAGCGUGGGGAGCAAACAGG